rfam:Danio rerio chromosome 14, GRCz11 reference primary assembly.
UGCCACAGCCAUAUCACCCUGCAGCCCAAGACCGGUUACUCACUGAAGCUAAGCAGGGCUGAGCCUGGUUAGUACCUGGAUGGGAGACCACUAGGGAACAGUAGGUUGCUGUUGGAA